GCUAUGGUAGGGGCAGCAGGAUGUGUGGAAGGAAGAAAAAACAAAACAAAACACGUGCAGAGAUGGGGCAAAGAGAGGCUGAGAAGGAAUGGAAAAAUGGAAGUGUCAGCACAUGCAGUGGUCAAGAGAGAGCUGGGUGUUAACUCCCGCCUUCUUAAGCUUCCCUUGGCUUGAAUUUUUGCUGUCUGUCCACUUGAUUCUUCUCUUCAAUUCUGGGGAAACUGAGAAAGGUGGUUCCCCUCAGAGAAGAAAUCAAUACAAAGGAAAUUUGGGGAACCCAGGGACGGGGUAAUGGGAGUCUAGAGGCAAUGGCAACAAAGGUCUGAAUCUGAAGUAGAAGCUGGGGAAAUUCCCCAGCCGGAACAUCCAAGACCUCGCCACCCUAGAAAUGACCUGUGACGGUGUCAGAUUUAAGACCAGAGUGUGUCUCACAUUUCUCCUAGGACCUGGAUAUUUCCCAAAAGGAAGACAUCCGUUUACUCUGUGACCAACAGAAAAGAAGCGGUAACUUGUCAAUAAGGAAGUGGUUUGGGGCUUGACGAAAGACAUUGAAAACGAAUGUGGCUGUUACAUGCUCUUAACAUCAGCCCUGAUAUCAGUUCCCCACAUUGAACCCAGCGUACGUGGGGUUAAAACUAAAACCCACCACCCCCUUUCCUGCUUCUCUAGCUCCACUCACAUGCAAAUACCUGUUUCUUUAAACUUGGACUCUUUGAGCUUUACAACUAAAUGGGAGUUACAAAUUGUUAAAAGCCCAGGUGGCCUGGAGUUGGAGGCACACUAAAGUUUAGCUAAUCAUGUGUCCCUGAGUUUGCCAGGAAAGCCGCUGUCUCAAGAGUAUCAAGGAGCGGAGGCUUCCCAGACCUCAACUCCUCGACUCCCAGCGCUCGAACCCGCCUCAAACAAGAAGACGAGACAACGGCGAAGGACGCCCGCCUGCCAUCCUCCUAUCUCACCCUCCCCCCGCCUUGCUGCAAGCAGCCUCUCAAGGCCAAACGCAGGCUGGUGGGGAAGCACCGAGCUGCACAGCUACAUGUUCCCCCCUCCCCUACCCGAAACCCCAAAUAAAAAUCCCUACCCAUUCCUCAUCGGGGAGCUAGCAAUUUUUGAGGCAUGAGCCCUUGCUUUGCUCCCUGUGCUUGGCAUAGUAAAAACCUUUCCUCUUCCACUCAAGACUCUGUGCUCGUUAUUCGGAUUGGCGUUGGGUUCACAGACCGAACUUUCGGUUACAAUCUGUGUGACACAAAGCCCUCUCUUCUUCCCACUCCACAUGCUGAGAGAGGAAGGUCACAAGUCCCAUUGCCUCUCCCACUCCUCUCUCUUCCUCUCAUCAUCCACCAUGUCUCAGACCAGACUCAUAAAGCACAGAAGUUGAAUGUGCAGAAAGCUUGUAUUGAUUCAAUGCGUGCAUUACCUGCUGUGUGCCAGGCCCUGUGUUGAAUCACAGGGACACACAAAUGAAUGGAGCCUAAAGUUAUCCUCAACAUAUAUGUUCACACUAGCGGCAGCUUGGCCUCUGCUCCAUCCCAGGGAGGGGAAAGAGAAUCUUUGGGCCACAGGACCACACACUAUUCAUCCAUUCAUUCAUUCAACAAAUAUGUGUUAAAACCACCACGUGCCAGGCACUUUCCUAGGCACAGGGAAUUCAGAGGCAAUCAAGACACUAAGUCCCUGUUCUCAGGAGGCUUAUAUAAAAUUAAGAGAUUAUGUUCUCCUGGGAGCAGCUUACUUUGUAGUGAGGGAGUUUCCAUUCUCUCCCGUUGGUGGUGGGCACCAGGUUGUGGGGAGGAAACCAGGUCCAUACUUCAAGACUGGGGACCUUCCACGUUUUCUUCCCGCCCUCAAAGUUCUGUGGGAUGGAUGGAGGUUCAGCAUAGAAAGAGCAUUAGCUGGGGUUGGAGAGAGGCAAGUUCUAAUCCUGGCUCCAACUCACUCGUGAAUAACCUUCUCCAGCCCCCACUCUCUCCAUUUGUGGAGCAUUGGUCCCAUCAGUGGUUCUCAGUGGCAGUGGCGAAGACUCGGGAACUUCUGGAAAACUUAUAGAAGUGUUUUUGGGUUUUGAAAUGAUUGGAGAGGCCUACUGGCAUCGAGUGGAUGAAAGCCAAGGAUGCUGGGCAUCAUAUAUUGCAUAAUCCUUCACACCUAGCAAGUGUCAACAUCUUGCAUGACUUUCAAAAUGUCCCACAGUUGUGAAUGAUGCUAUGAACAUUUGUGUACAAGUAUUUGCUUAAAUACCUGUUUUGAAUUCUUUGGGGUAUAUACUUAGGAGUAGAAUUGCUGGGUCAUAUGGUAAUUCUAUGUCUAACUUUUUGAGGAAACACUGUUUUCCCCUGUAGUAAUAUACGCCUACAAUGGAAUAUUAUUGAGCCAUAAAAAGAAAUGAAGAACUGAUACAUGCUACAGUAUGGACGAACCUCAAAAACACUAUAUGCUAAGUGAAAGAAGCCAGACACAAAAGGUCACCUGUUGUAUGAAUUCAUUAUAUGAAACUUCCAGAAUAAAUAAAUCUGUAGAGACAAAAAGCAGACCAAGUAGUUCCCAGGAGCCUGGGGGAGAAGGAAAUGAGGAAUAACUGCUUAACGGGUACAGGUUUCCGUUUGGGGUGGGCAAAUGUCUUGGAACUAGACAGAGGUGAUGGUUGCCCAACAUCGUGAAAGUAGUAAAUGUCAUUGAAUUAUACACUUUAAAAUGGUUAAUGGUAUUUAUGUUUUAGGAGUUUUACUUCAAUUUUAAAAGUUUUUUGGGGGGCCAGCCUGGUGGCACGGUGGUUAAGUUCACAUGCUCCAAUUCAGCUGCCUGGGAUUUGUGGGUUCGGAUUCUGAGCGUGGACCUACACACCACUCAUCAAGCCAUGCUGUGGCAGCAUCCCACAUACAAAGUAGAGGAAGAUUGGCACAGAUGUUGGCUCAGUGACAAUCUUCCUCAAGCAAGAAGAAGAGGAUUGGCAACAGAUGUUAGCUUAGGGCCAAUCUUCCUCACCAAAAAAAAAAAAAAAAA
ensembl:lncRNA